rnacentral:rRNA from 1 species
UACAGAGGUCCCGAGCGUUGUUCGGAUUCACUGGGCGUAAAGGGUGCGCGGGUGGGUUGGCAAGUUUGAUGUGAAAGCCCCAGGCUUAACCCGGGAAUGGCAUUGAAUACUGCUGAUCUGGAGGAUCGGAGGGGGGACUGGAAUUCUUGGUGUAGCAGUGAAAUGCGUAGAUAUCAAGAGGAACACCAGUGGCGAAGGCGAGUCCCUGGACGAUACCUGACACUGAGGCACGAAAGCCGGGGGAGCAAACAGG